GACGUAGGGCGCGAGCGUGUCCGGAUUUAUUGGGCGAAAGAGCUCGUAGGCGGCUUGUCGCGUCGUCUGUGAAAACCCGCGGCUCAACGGCGGGCUUGCAGUCGAUACGGGCAGGCUGGAGUUCGGUAGGGGAGACUGGAAUUCCUGGUGUAGCGGUGAAAUGCGUAGAUAUCGUAAGGAAGACCAGUGGCGAAGGCGAGUCUCUGGACAGCAACUGACGCUGAGGCACGAAGGCCAGGGGAGCAAACGGGG
rnacentral:rRNA from 1 species